AUUGAACGCUGGCGGCGGGCCUAACACAUGCAAGUCGAACGAGCGGCGGACGGGUGAGUAAUGUAGGUGGAUCUGCCCGAAAGAGGGGGAUAACUACUGGAAACGGUGGCUAAUACCGCAUACCAUCGGAUUAACCCAGAUGGGCUUAGUUUGUGGGUGGGGUAAAGGCUAAGCUAGCCGACGAUGUCUAGCUGGGCUGAGAGGAGGCUCAGCCAACAGGGGCUUGAGAAACGGCCCGGACUCCUACGGGAGGCAGCAGUGGGGAAUAUUGCAAAUUGGGCGCAAGCCUGAUGCAGCCAUGCCGCGUGUAUGAAGAAGGCCUUAGGGUUGUAAAGUACUUUCAGCGAGGAGGCGUUACCCGCAGAAGAAGCACCGGCUAACUCCGUGCCAGCAGCCGCGGUAAUUC
rnacentral:rRNA from 1 species